UUACAAUUACAUUCAAGAAAUAUGCAAAAUACAAAUUUUUAUUUUUAUUUUCGGUUCGUAUAAUAUAAACUUUAAAACAUAUCUAAUUGGCAUUCAGCAACAUCUAAUUGAUCUAGACCUCCAGUUUUCUUAUGCUGAAUCCUGAAACUCCAACCAGCUUAACAGCAUUAUCUCAGACAGAUUCUUCAUCUCUUGAACCAUCAAAGCUCUUACAGUUCAACAGAAAACCUCUCAAACCGUUCUGAUUCCAGAGGAUAAUACUUGUGCAACCCUCCCUUUGGAUGGAUAAGAGUUGUUUGCUUCGUAGGCAAGCAGCUAUUUCCUUCUUCGUCAACGGAGGUUUGAAGGCCACUGUCUUUGCAGAAAGAUGCUACAUCCCAUUCCUUCAUCAUUAGGAGUUUGGAAAGAGCCACCAAGGGAAAAGGCUGAGGCUUGUAUCCUCCAUGAUUCACACAGGAAAUAGCUAGUGAUCGAACCUCAUUGAUAGAAGGUUCAAUAAUGCAAUACUGCAAGUACGAUGCCUCGGACUCUGUUGUAUGAAUAAAUUUCUUGAAGAAGCCCAAUUUAAAGUAUCUCAAGAUCUUCCGAGCAAAAUUCAUUUCUGUCGACUUCAUAAUGUGAGAAGGAACGCGACGAAACCAUAAAGACAGUGUCUCCCCUGUUCCUUGGGUUUUGGAAUCAAGGUGGAGAAGCACAUAAAAGGAAAAAAAAUCAGCUUCAUUUUUGAAGAUGGGCGCUGUAGUACGAUUUGCUUCAUAAAGAUUAAAUAAAGUCGCCAAUGCCUUCGUUAGCUGCUCCAUGUUGAGGUAUGACAGCGAAGAAAUAUUUGAACCGCUACAUCUUCUAAGUUUAUGCUGGGAAAUUAUAUGGAAUUUAACCAUUCUCUCAUACAUAGAGACCACUCGACUGCAAGAGAUAUUUUGCAUACUUAGAUCUUGUCUAAUGGACCUCAUCCUAUCAAAGAUGAAGUCAUGAACCACCUCAAAUGGAUGCUCGGUAGAGUCCAGCAAGUUACACAGAUAGUUCAAAGUAUCUUCCAACACCGAGAGAGGCCUCACAUCAGAAUCUUGCAGAGUCUUCACGGAUAUAGUCCUACAGAACUUUUUAACAGCAAGGCUUGGUGAUGACUGUCGAGGAUUUCCAUGUAGCCUCUCAAACACAGCUAAGUCUCGCAGCCUCUCUCUUUUCUCCCUCUCCUCAACAGGACACAUGAAAGGGCAAGUUCCAACUAAACUCUGAAUGUCGUCAAUAUCUUCAUCAAUGACUUUGUCCCAAUUGCUUGAGCUCGUCUUGUUGUCGGAAGCGUUGUUCUGAAUUGGGGUACCAUUAGGCGUAGAAGAAUUGAAAUUUUUGGUGUGGUGGGACUGAAAGUUGCGGGAAGGUUGAGAAGGGUGGUAGGAUCUGGAAGAAGAAGAGGAAAAAUUAGGUCUUGGCCUGUACGGAGGUUGACUCCUUCCGGCCAUGGCUCGGCGUCUAC
rnacentral:misc_RNA from 1 species